GUCCGAAAAAAACUUGUCAUCAAAAUGGACAAAAAAGGAUGUAUCUAGAACUAAAAUACAUCUAGAUACAUCCCCUUUUAUUCAUUUUGAUGACAAGUAUUUCCGGACGGAGGGAGUAUUGAUAAACUAAAAACUUACUUAUCUUGUUAGUACCAAUCCUUAACCCCAUCCACCUUGCCAUGUUACUCGCAGUAGAUUCAAUAUAUAUACUCCCUCUAAACUAAUAAGACGUUUUACAUCACUAAAAAUAUUAGUUUAUGGAGGGAGUGACUAUAUUGUUCACUACUUCCUUCGUUCCUAAAUAUAAGUCUUUUUAGAGAUUCCAAUAAGAAACUACAUAAGGAGCAAAAUGAGUGAAUCUACACUCUAAACUAUGUCUAUAUAUAUCCGUAUGUAGUCCAUAGUGAAAUCUCUAGAAAGACUUAUAUUUAGAAAAGGAGGGAGCAUUUAGCAGCAGAGCAGCACCGCUGGAAUUCCUUCUCCAUUGCAAAAGUAGAUGACCCAGGCAACCCUGCAAAGACAUAAAAAAAAUGUGAGGGUAGGGAUGGUACUCAUUGGGUAUUGGGCACGGGUGAAGUCACCCCGUACCCUUAUACUUCCCUUUAGAGCCCCUUUUGAGCCCAACAGGGUAAACGGGUUGGGUGAGUUAAAAUUAUCUACAUUUACAACACAUCAACUUGAGUAGUACAUAGUUCCAUUUCGAAAAAAAAACUUGAGUAGUACAUAGUUAUAAACAACAUGUAAUCAUAAUUUAUAAACAACGAUACAUCAUAAUAGUAGCACAUUCUCAUAAGCAACAACACGUAUUCAUCCGGUUGGUGAAUAGUUGCCUCGUCCCGUUGUGGGUCUUGGACUGGUGGUGGUGUGCGGGCGACGGCGCUGUGGGCAGGCGGCGUUCUAACGUGCGAGUAUUGUGACUCGUAUUGGGGAAUGAUUAUUUUUCUGGCUUCCCUAUAAAUUUUUCGGGGAUUCGGCUUUGUUGAAGCAGGUUUUUUUGGCCCAACUCCCCAAAAUUUUGAUUUUUAUUGUGAAAAUGCUCUUAGGUGGGUUUAUAUUGCAGCAGACCUUAUUAUGGGCUGCCCUUAGUUAUAGUGUGACAUUUAUCUAUCUGGGCCUUCCCAAUGGAUUACAGGAUAAGUUGGAGUAUCUUUGGGACAUUUCGCUCCUUAGAAAUUUGGUCUCCCCUAAUACUCAAAAGGGAAAUGAAAUGACAUAUAUCAAUAAAAGCUAAUGUGGUGGGCUAAUUAAAAGCAUCUACUAGAUCAUCAGAAGCCAUCCGUUGGCCCAGUAGCCCAAUGAGCCUAUGAUAUGUAGCCCCCCGACCCAUUACCAGGCUGUGGCAUCGUUCUCCCCAAAUCAGUCCUCCGCCUCCACCAAUCGCUCGACCAGCGCUCGCUCGUACUCAUCCCCAUCGCUGCGCUCCACCCGCUUCCUCCUCCUCCCUGAUGGCUCACCUUAAGGCGGUCUGGCCGUCGUGGGGACUGAUGAACGAGAAUCACGGGGGUUCGUCUGCACGCGGUGGAUGGUCUUCCUCGGGAGCAAAGAAAGGCCAGUUUCCGGAAGAAACAGACUUCGCCUAUCUGUAUGACAGAUACAAGACAAAUGACAAGGUAACCAAUAGAAAGCUCAGACACCAGAUCAGCCUGUACGAGGGGAGGGUAUAGGGCAGAGCAGGCUACUGGCGUACUGCCUCAAGAAAAGUGGGAGGUACACGCCAGCCGUCAGAGAUCGCAAGGUGGCCAAGGCCUGGGACAAGAUUUUGCAGGACAUUGAGCACGCGGAUGCCAAAUACAGAGAGUAUCGGGAGCAGCACUUUGUUCCUGUUCCUAUGCCUGUCCAUCUUCGCGCUAGGAUCCCCGACCCCUAGGUCCGGCUGUUUGCUUUUUCAUCGAUACAAACUGCUGCUGUAGAACCACACAGCUACCCCUGCAUAUACCGCUGGAGAUCUUCUGGGAUUUUUGUGCUCGUCCUAGGUUUUGUGAACGCCUGUUGGCCUGGAUGCGUAUCAAUAAUGCGUUAUUAGCUUUGACAUUCAGUCCAGUUCUGUUUGUCGGUC